AGUCAUCUGGUUGAUAGUCUGCUGGAUAGUCGUCUGGUUGAUAGUCUGGUUGAUAGUCUGCUGGAUAGUCGUCUGGUUGAUAGUCUGCUGGAUAGUCGUCUGGUUGAUAGUCUGCUGGAUAGUCGUCUGGUUGAUAGUCUGCUGGAUAGUCGUCUGCUGGAUAGUCUCUGCUGGAUAGUCGUCUGGAUGGCGAUUACUCCAACACGUGAUCAGUGUCCUACACAGUGUAAACCUGCAGUGUUUGAGUGACCUGUACAGUUUUUGUACAAAUGUUAUUGUUAAGAUAGUCCAUGUGAUUUUUUAAAAAACAUGACAUGUUUAAAACAAUGCAAUCUCCACUUAUAAUGUGAAACCAUGUAAACCAGUUAAUAAAUUUGUCAAGUAACAACUCAUGAUACUGAAUACUGUAACGUUCUGUACAGCUGUAAUAAUCAGAAAGGUUGAGCUUCUGCGUUUCCUGACAGUGUAUCACUGCCAUAUACAAUGGAUAUUUUCAUACUGAUGUCCACACAUGCAAGUAUUAACUUUGAGUUCAGAACUGUUGAUAUUAGAUGAAAUGUAUUCAAAAGAAUACCCUAGGUCUUUGAUUGAAACAUUUUCCUGACAAAACUUUCUUGAGUCUUUUGUAAACAAUUGUUCUCAGAACUAUUUGCAUUGGUAAGAAAAUCAGUGAUUAGAAAACAUGAAAAUAAAAUGUUAGAAUGUCUUUAUUCACUAGUCAGUAAGUUUAUUAACAGAAUGAUUGGCUAGAUGUACAUCGCAAUGUUGAUGGAACAUUUAAUCUCAGAAUUCAGUGCUAUGAUAAAAUUAUUCAUUAUAAAAAGUGAAGGAAAAUGAGCUGCUUCAAUAAAUAUUGUUUAGAUACA